GUUAGUUAUUUUAUUGGUAGAAACUAAUAUUUCACAACGGUAUAAAUAAUACCUUCCAUGAUAAUUUGCAUAAGACUCUUAAUUUUGCUAGUGUAAGUGAAUCAAUAAAAUUGUUAAUUUAAAAUCGUAUUAAAUAGAAUAGUUCUAAUUUCUAUAAAUUAAGGACAUAUUUAUUAAGCCCCCUUUCUACAUGUAACUUAUUGCUUCUUUCAGUUCACAGUUCGCUUAAUUUGUUUACAUUUAGAAAUAUAAAAACCUAUUUACUUCAAGAAUAAUUAUUAAAUUUGCCUUAUUUUCCAAACUUCGCGCCUUUGAUAUAUUUUAAAUUAGCGCUACAUAUCUGAUACUAUAUGCUAUUGCAGAUAAGCCCAGGAAUGCUACACCGUUAAUUACGGUAAGGUCAUUCUGAUAAAAAUGUAUAAUAAUACUCUGUAUACAUUCUGUAACUAUUGUAUUGUAACAUAAAUAGUUAUAAUUCAAAUAUUGUACGGUAACAUAGGCCUAUUUUGGUUUGUUUUGUAAUAGUAUUCUAACAUUGCACUGGCAUUGGCACAAUGUAGUUUCAAUCAUUUAUACUUUCUGAUUCUGAUUUAGAAUAAAUUAAAAAUAAUGGUUUACAGAUAUGUAAAACUUGGUUUGCCGUUUUGUGCACAAAUCGUUUAAAUUUACAUUUAAUUUAAUUGUGUUUUGAGUCGUGUAUAAAUUUAAGAUUCCUAUUUGCAAUAAUUUCCACAUUAGUGAUUUCAACACAAACCAAAAACACGUUUACUAAAACACGUUAGGAUUAGAGUGUAAAUGUCUUUUUUUUUUUAGGGAAAAUCAAUGAUAAUUAUACGAUAAGGCAUUUUCCACUGCACAGGGAUACACAAUGGAUAUCCAAAAAUUAUCAACUACAUUCAUUGUGAGUAUUUUAAUUCGUGUGAGUUGGUUGGUGCGAGGCCAGGGAGUAUCCAUUUGAGGUAGAAUGACUAAUCGUACUUCGAAGAAACAAUUGGCAUACUUCGAGAAUUGGGACAAGGUUCGUCAAGUGUCUAGCAAUAUCAUUGCACGAUAGCCGGGAUUUCGGAAUCAUCUUAGUGAUAUUUGUUCCUGGAUUAAUUCAUUACAUCAUUGUUCUUUAGUCAAUAUUACAAUGUUAAUGUAAAUAGUUCGAUUGUAUGUACAAUAUUUACUAUAAUAGUGCUCUAAACUAAUAAAUUGAUAAAUUAUUAUUAUUAUAUUUAUAAUCAA
rnacentral:lncRNA from 1 species